UUUCCUCUUGCCUCAGACUGUUGGGUAGCUGGGACUACAGAAUAAGACUGAUUUUUCUGGGGAAAUGAAGCUAUGUAUCCCAGUUUUUGAAAGACUUGAAUCUUCUGUGUCUUGAAAAAUCCCAUUUCUGACAAAUGCACAGAGCAUUUUCUACUGGACAUGCUUCUUACAGAGGAAAGAAAACUAAUAUUCACCAAGAUAAUGCUUCCCUCCACCUUCUGGUUUCAUGAAAAAUUAAGCCACUUCCUUCUUUUGAAAAAAAGGAAAGAAUUAAAUUCAAAUGUUAGUAAAACUAAUUCUUCUCAAAGGUUGUAUUCUAAAUAAAGAUUGCUACUGCUUUGAGUAAAAGCUUAAAACUGUAAAGUUAACAAAAAAUAAAAAUAAAAUAAGAGAUGGUUUUUAAUCUCUGACCAUUAAAUGAACAAUUAUACAGUUCCUGAUUGGGGGCCCUGAACUCUUCAUCCACCUAUAUGUUGGAAAUAAUUCUCCUAACACCUUUGUGUUGCUCUUUUUGAAAGUUGAUGUUGAGGGGCUGGGGAUAUGGUUC